rnacentral:rRNA from 1 species
GACGUAGGGGACGAGCGUUGUCCGGAUUCAUUGGGCGUAAAGGGCUCGUAGGCGGUUUGUCGCGUCGGGAGUGAAAACCUUGGGCUUAACUCAGGGCUUGCUUUCGAUACGGGCAGACUAGAGGUAUGCAGGGGAGAACGGAAUUCCUGGUGUAGCGGUGAAAUGCGCAGAUAUCAGGAGGAACACCGGUGGCGAAGGCGGUUCUCUGGGCAUGAUCUGACGCUGAGGAGCGAAAGUGUGGGAGCGAACAGG